rnacentral:rRNA from 1 species
CAGCAGCCGCGGGAAUACGGAGGGAGCUAGCGUUGUUCGGAAUUACUGGGCGUAAAGCGCACGUAGGCGGUUAUUCAAGUCAGAGGUGAAAGCCCGGGGCUCAACCCCGGAACUGCCUUUGAAACUAGAUGACUGGAAUCUUGGAGAGGUCAGUGGAAUUCCGAGUGUAGAGGUGAAAUUCGUAGAUAUUCGGAAGAACACCAGUGGCGAAGGCGACUGACUGGACAAGUAUUGACGCUGAGGUGCGAAAGCGUGGGGAGCAAACAGGAUUAGAGACCCCCGUAGUCCCUGUCUCUUAUAA